rnacentral:lncRNA from 1 species
ACCGACCUUGAACCAAAUUUGUGUUUUAUAAACCGAUCUCGAGACACGACGUUGUCUUGGGAAGUGUAAAAUGACAGGCGAAUCUCAAGUCAUCGAUCGACCUUCCUCAAGACCGCGAUUCUAACCUAACUUUGUUUGUUAUUGUUUGAAUUUUGAAUAUUUUUAAUUCAGUUCCAACAUAUAUUUUUUGUUUUUCGAAUUACAAUAAAAAUGUAUGAAAAAGUAAAAGCAUUUUUAGAGUUUAUUGAUAAUAUUGGAGAAGAAAAUCGCCCGGGAAGUGUACAAAAGCAAUAUAUUCAAGAUAAAAAUAUAAUUUAAAAUACAAUGGAGUAUUACAAUAUUGCAGUUCAUCAGCGAAUCAGCGCAUUAACUUAAACAACAAAGGUUUUAUGCUACUUAUAGGAAUAUAACCAGUUUUUAUGAGGAAGCCCACUUUCCAAAAAUGUACAGGUACUAGAAGAGAAAUUAUGUAUAUUAUUGUUCAACAACAAGGUUAUCAAGUCAUUCAAUAUUUGAUCUAAGAGCAUUAAGAGUGAAAUUGUGAAAUGGAAAGAAGUGAAAUUCCAGGAUUAUUAAUAGGAAUAGAUGACAGUAAUGGGUAUGCAUGCAGACACUAUCUACUUACCCCAGUAUUACAGCCAGGUAAUGAUCAAGAAAAUAAGAUAUUUUUACCAUAGUACUCAUGUGAGAACAAGAAAUGUAGAAAAGCUAUUUGGAACCUGGAAAAGAGAGUUUCCUUGCAAUAAUAUGUGCUACAGCAGUACCUUACAAUCUAGGUAAAUAAUGAUCUGGUGGUAAAUAGACAUGUUAAUGAUGUGGAACAAUCUCUAAAUUUUUGGUGACAUUUUUUUCAACAAUAUUUUGCAUGAGAAUACAUUAUUGAAUACCUACUCUUAUUGUGUUUGAUUUUUUUUUCUAUUAUUUCUCAAAAUGUCAUCAUAAUCAUUGUUCGACAACCCUUUUUGUUUGAGUUUUGAUCUCUUGAGGAAUACAGCUCCAUUCCAAUCUAUUUCAGGAUUUGUUCUUGCAAUUUUUUAUUUUUAAAAUAUCAAUGUCUUAUUCUAUUUGUUCCUUAUAUCUAAUCUAUAGUCUUUCUCUCGUUAUAUGUCCAGCUGACAUUUGUGUGUUUAUUUUGGAAAGUAUUUCAUAUGCUUCCAUCCUUCCUCUUAGAACGUGGUCCUAUUUUGAUGAAUGUAUAUGGAUCGUGGUAUGCCCUAUGCCCUGUAUAGUUCAAAAUUAUAUCUUCUCUGGUCUUCAUAUUUUAGAUGCUAUUUAGCCUGAUUCUAGUGCUUUAUCGUUGUUUCCAGUGCUUUAUCAAUUUAUCAUCGUUUAUUUUACCUACCUGUCUACUGCUACUCUACUAUUGUACUUUCACCAUAUAUUUUUGGAAUAUAAAUAUAUAGUAACCUUCUGUCUUUCUCUUGUUCAACUGGAAUUUGUUUAUUUAUUCUGAGAAUACAUUAUUGAAUCUGUAUUAUGUUAGAUAUAUUAUUUUUUAUUUUAUUUCUUAAUAUGUAUUUUUUAUAUUUUAUUUUAAAAUAAAUGAGUAUGAGUUUCCCUCUUCUUAAAUAA